rnacentral:sRNA from 1 species
GCAUGAAAUCUAAAAACUGCUUCCUUGCUU